rnacentral:tRNA from 1 species
AGCUUAAGUGGUAGAGCACUUGCCUAGCAUGCAAGAGGCCCUGGGGUCAAUCCCCAG